rnacentral:rRNA from 1 species
UGAACCUGCGGAAGGAUCAUUAUUGUAUAUUAAAAACAUAUAAUAAUUGAUACUUAUGUGAAGUUUAUUUCACAAACAAAAAAACUUACUAGGUAGCUGUACGAUGAGCUUUAAAGAAUUUUGCCUAGUGUCCUUACCACAUAUAAAUACAUAUGUGGUGAUAGAGGUGGAAUAGAUUGUCGCUAUUCAUUUACUUCUAUCAUUGUUUUUAUAACAUAAAAUGUUGAUUGUAUUAAAAUAUAAAAUAUAAUAAAAACAUGAGAACCUUAAACAGGGGAUCACUUGGCUCAUGGGUCGAUGAAGACCGCAGCAAACUGCGUGUCACCAUGUGAACUGCAGGACACAUGAUCAUUGACAUGUUGAACGCAUAUUGCACCUCAUGCGAUUAGAUUUUGAUUCAUUUACUUGAUUUAAGAUCUGUGUGAGGUACACAUGGUUGAGUGUCGUUAUUUAUAUAUUAAACUAUCUUUUGUGUGUAAAUGCACAAAAGUGAUUGAUGCGGUUAUACCAAAACUUCUAUAUUAAUUAUUAGUUGUGUUGGUAUACUGUGAAAAUAUAUAAAGUUGGAUUAUUAUAUUUCCACAAUCAUUAUUUAAUAUAAGUGUGGUUUAAAUAAUAUAAUAAUUUUCUAACAUAUAUAAAAUAAUAUUAUAAACGACCUCAACUCAUGUGUGA